rnacentral:rRNA from 1 species
AUGGGCCCCCGGUGCCGGAGUGAAGAUGUUAAGUUCACUGCCUGGGGAGUACGGUCGCAAGGCUGAAACUUAAAGGAAUUGGCGGGGGAGCACUGCAACGGGAGGAGCGUGCGGUUUAAUUGGAUUCAACGCCGGAAAACUCACCAGGGCCGACUGUUAGAUGAAGACCAGUGUAACGAACUUGUCGGAUUUUCAGAGAGGUGGUGCAUGGCCGUCGUCAGUUCGUACUGUAAAGCGUUCUGUUAAGUCAGAUAACGAACGAGACCCUCAUCUCUAUUUGCUACCUGUCUCUCCGGAGACGGCGCACUAUAGGGAGACCGCUGGUGUUAAACCAGAGGAAGGCGAGGGCAACGACAGGUCAGUAUGCCCCGAAUGUCCUGGGCUACACGCGCGCUACAAAGGACGGGACAAUGGGAAGCUAGGUCGAGAGGCCGCGCUAACCCGAAACCCGUUCGUAGUUCGGAUUGAGGGCUGUAACUCGCCCUCAUGAAGCUGGAUUCCGUAGUAAUCGUGUUUCAACAUAGCACGGUGAAUAUGCCCCUGCUCCUUGCACACACCGCCCGUCAAACCAUCUUAGUUGGGGGUGGGUGAGGCUGCGCUUUAUGGCGUAUUCGAGCCUGCCUUCGACAAGGAGGGUUAAGUCGUAACAAGGUAUCUGUAGGGGAACCUGCAGAUG